ensembl:lncRNA
GUUAUUGGUAAUGGUGAGAGGUUAGCAUGUUUUGUUGUAGCCUCUGUUAUUGGUAAUGGUGAGAGGUUAGCAUGUUUUGUUGUAGUCUCUGUUAUUGGUAAUGGUGAGAGGUUAGCAUGUUUUGUUGUAGUCUCUGUUAUUGGUAAUGGUGAGAGGUUAGCAUGUUUUGUUGUAGUCUCUGUUAUUGGUAAUGGUGAGAGGUUAGCAUGUUUUGUUGUAGUCUCUGUUAUUGGUAAUGGUGAGAGGUUAGCAUGUUUUGUUGUAGUCUCUGUUAUUGGUAAUGGUGAGAGGUUAGCAUGUUUUGUUGUAGUCUCUGUUAUUGGUAAUGGUGAGAGGUUAGCAUGUUUUGUUGUAGUCUCUGUUAUUGGUAAUGGUGAGAGGUUAGCAUGUUUUGUUGUAGCCCUUGUUAACACUAAUAAUACUAUGCAAUGAUAAUAUUUGCAUUUUUCACUAUAAGCAACAGUGGGAUUUCUUCCAUUGACGGAGAGGCGGACCAAAGCGCAGCGUGGUUGUUUUGAUUCAUGUUUGAAUAAAUCACUUCACAUGAACAAACUAACAAAAACAAGAACCGUGAAAACCCAAAACAGCCCUAUCUGGUGCAAAACACAGAGACAGGAACAAUCACCCACAAACAGUCCUAUCUGGUGCAAAACACAGAGACAGGAACAAUCACCCACAAACAGUCCUAUCUGGUGCAAAACACAGAGACAGGAACAAUCACCCACAAACA